CCUCUGACCACAGGCAACUGUGUGCUUGCAAGGAAUCUUCUUUCCUGAGCCGGUAAAUUCAAAAUGACCAGGGUGUUCACAGGGUACCAGGUUUGAGGGCCACUGACCCUUGAACCCCCAACCCUACCUACUGCCCUAUUCACCCAGGACCACAGCUUACACUCUGGAAAAGCCAAGAAAUGACAGCAGGCAAUGCACACGGAGGAAACAUUUCUGCACAGCAACUGCACAGGAGGACAGCCCAGCUUUCAGGUCUCAGCUUAAAUGUCAUUUCCCUUCUGGACCUGGCAGGGCAGAAGGUGCCAUCGAGGGAGUUGAUGUUUGCCAUGACAAGGACCAAAAGGUUCGGCAUCAGGAGCCCAAGAGCCAGGACAUCCACCAAAGGCUGUUGGUCAAGCUGUUCAGGUUUCCGGCCAGAUGAACCAACUCCACCUUCAACCAGGUUGUGCUGAAGACAUUGUUAAUGAGUCACAGAAACUGGCCACCUCUGUCUCUCUC
rnacentral:lncRNA from 10 species